AUGGUUGUUAUUGGCUCAACCAAAGGCCCAGUACUUUGUCCGAACUUAAAUGCUUAUAUGAUUAGCAAGGAGGAUUCGUUGUACAGUGUUCUGAAGAUAAUGGCUCUUCUGCGCCCUGAAGAACCAAGUUCUCUAAAGGAAGAGACUUCAUUGCCAGAAAAAUCAGAUAGUUCCCCUAAUGUUAUUUGUGGGAAAAUUCCUUAUGCUGUACAAGAUAGCAAGACAGCGAGUACGAUAGAGAUAGAUUUAACUAAUGAUAGUGCUACUUGGAAGAAGUUUGAGACUUUUGUACUCAACAAGCAGGGCUAG
rnacentral:rRNA from 1 species